rnacentral:rRNA from 1 species
ACGCCUGUUGGGUAGGGGAGCGUUGUGUAAGCGGAAGAAGGUUCAUCGAGAGGUGGGCUGGACGUAUCACAAGUGCGAAUGCUGACAUAAGUAACGAUAAAACGGGUGAAAAACCCGUUCGCCGGAAGACCAAGGGUUCCUGUCCAACGUUAAUCGGGGCAGGGUGAGUCGGCUCCUAAGGCGAGGCUGAAAAGCGUAGUCGAUGGGAAACAGGUUAAUAUUCCUGUACUUGGUAAAGCUGCGAUGUGGGGACGGAGUAGGUUAGGUUAUCGCACUGUUGGAUAUGUGCGUUUAAGUUGGUAGGUGGGAAGUUUAGGCAAAUCCGGACUUCCUUAACACAGAGAGAUGAUGACGAGGCUCUACGGAGCUGAAGUAACUGAUACCACACUUCCAGGAAAAGCCACUAAGCGAAAGGCUUUACUAAACCGUACUGAAAACCGACACAGGUGGUCAGGUAGAGAAUACUCAGGCGCUUGAGAGAACUCGGGUGAAGGAACUAGGCAAAAUAGCACCGUAACUUCGGGAGAAGGUGCGCCGGCGUAGAUUGUAGUCCCUAGCGGGCGAAGGUUGAACCGGUCGAAGAUACCAGCUGGCUGCAACUGUUUAUUAAAAACACAGCACUCUGCAAACACGAAAGUGGACGUAUAGGGUGUGAUGCCUGCCCGGUGCUGGAAGGUUAAUUGAUGGUGUCAUCGCAAGAGAAGCACCUGAUCGAAGCCCCAGUAAACGGCGGCCGUAACUAUAACGGUCCUAAGGUAGCGAAAUUCCUUGUCGGGUAAGUUCCGACCUGCACGAAUGGCAUAAUGAUGGCCAGGCUGUCUCCACCCGAGACUCAGUGAAAUUGAAAUCGCCGUGAAGAUGCGGUGUACCCGCGGCUAGACGGAAAGACCCCGUGAACCUUUACUAUAGCUUGACACUGAACAUUGAAUUUUGAUGUGUAGGAUAGGUGGGAGCCUUUGAAGCAGUGACGCCAGUCAUUGUGGAGGCGACCUUGAAAUACCACCCUUUAACGUUUGAUGUUCUAACGAAGAUGACGAAACGUGGUCUCGGACAGUGUCUGGUGGGUAGUUUGACUGGGGCGGUCUCCUCCCAAAGCGUAACGGAGGAGCACGAAGGUUUGCUAAUCACGGUCGGACAUCGUGAGGUUAGUGCAAUGGUAUAAGCAAGCUUAACUGCGAGACAGACAAGUCGAGCAGGUACGAAAGUAGGUCAUAGUGAUCCGGUGGUUCUGAAUGGAAGGGCCAUCGCUCAACGGAUAAAAGGUACUCCGGGGAUAACAGGCUGAUACCGCCCAAGAGUUCAUAUCGACGGCGGUGUUUGGCACCUCGAUGUCGGCUCAUCACAUCCUGGGGCUGAAGUAGGUCCCAAGGGUAUGGCUGUUCGCCAUUUAAAGUGGUACGCGAGCUGGGUUUAGAACGUCGUGAGACAGUUCGGUCCCUAUCUGCCGUGGGCGUUGGAUGAUUGAUUGGGGCUGCUCCUAGUACGAGAGGACCGGAGUGGACGCAUCACUGGUGUUCCAGUUGUCUCGCCAGAGGCAUUGCUGGGUAGCUAAAUGCGGAAGAGAUAAGUGCUGAAAGCAUCUAAGCACGAAACUUGCCAAGAGAUGAGUCAUCCCUGACUUUAAGUCAGUAAGGGUUGUUGUAGACUACGACGUAGAUAGGUCAGGUGUGUAAGUGUAGUGAUACAUUGAGCUAACAGAUACUAAUUGCCCGAGAGGCUUAACUAUACAACGCUCAAG